CCGCUAAUUUUACCAAUUCUAACCGUGGUAAUGGCUUGUUCUUUAUUCCUUUCUUUGUAGCUUAUGAUUCCUAAAUGUUUUUGUUCUUCGUUACUAAUUCGUGACUUGAAAAUUUAGGGGAGUUUGCAUCAAUGAUAUGAUACCAUUUUACCUUGGAAAGCUGUUUAGACAAAGUGGAGCAUCUGAUAUGUUUGUUCCAAGUUAGGGAUAGGUGAAGAGAAGGUUUUGCAAAUAAGGCGUGCUGUU